UACAGAGGUCUCAAGCGUUUGUUCGGAUUCAUUGGGCGUAAAGGGUGCGUAGGUGGCGCGCUAAGUCAGGUGUGAAAUUUCGGAGCUUAACUCCGAAACUGCAUUUGAUACUGGCGUGCUUGAGGACUGGAGAGGAGACUGGAAUUCAUGGUGUAGCAGUGAAAUGCGCAGAUAUCAGGAGGAACACCGGUGGCGAAGGCGGGUCUCUGGGCCGAUACUGACGCUGAGGCACGAAGGCCAGGGGGAGCAAACGGG
rnacentral:rRNA from 1 species